UUCAUGUUUUUGAAAGCUUAUCUGCCAUUUCAUUUUAGAUCAACAAAAUUGUUUUGAAAACAGGAGUUCUCACCUGUUGGUUAAAUCCUACUAAAAUGCUGCGCCCUGGACUUCUGAGGGAGUUCUGGCAUCUCGGUGCACAAAGGCACCCUGGGUUUAUUAUGACACCUCAUUCCCAUCCAGGUCUGUCACCAGCUGUGAGAGCAAGGUAACUCUAUGGCAGAUCAACAGGCCUCUCUGCACAGGCUGAGCAGUGGUACUUACCCUGUGCAUAGCAGCAGGAAUUGCAAGGCCACAUCCGCAGCUACUGAAGAAAGGCAAAACUCCACUGCCUCCAAAGAUGGAAAUGACCACCAGUCCUUUCAAGUUAGCAGUCAUGAAUCUGAAUCACUGCUGCAGACAGAAGAAAAGCAACUACCCAGCAAGUGUGACAUCCCCAGCUCCCAGAGUCACGAGACUGUAGGCAAGCCAACGCUCCUCUGAACACCCAUCAGUGUGCAUCUGAUUCUCAAUGUGGGCUUAAAGAACAUUAAACCUAAUGGAACUGAGCAUGUGGAUAUCAUUAAACUUAUGCUUCAGUACUUCACUGACAAAUUUAAGCAGGCAUAUAAAUAUUUUGUUGAACAGAGGCUUGUGAACACCAGCCUAGAAGGACAUUUUUGUUUAUUUUUCGAGUACUGAGAGUUGUUCUUAGUCAUACAGAAGUACAGCAGUGUCUGCUGCAAUGGACACAUACCAAAGGGAGGGAGAGAUGGGCAGGAAAAGCUUCUUUCCUAGAUUUUUCAUGUAUCAGUGGCCAAGCAUGUGCAGAUGCCUGG